UUGUCGACGGGAAAUCCAAUCAAGAAAACCCUGUCCCUCAAGCAGCUACUGUAUUUGACCAGCUCACACCAGCUAGGCCUCCUCCAAAACUCAGAUAAAUAUUUGAGCCACCAAAAAACGAGAACAGAUCGGUCUGAAUCGUUAAGAACUGAAGCUAACAUCAUAGAGGUACAUCCUUCCAAGAAUCCAUCAAAACAACAUGCUGAACAACUUCAAGAACUCUCUUCAAAAGACCAUACUUUCCUGAAAUAAAUAAAUUUAAAAAGAUGCCAAUAUUAAAAUAAAUCAGUUACAUGUAUUGCUAAAUAUUUUAAUACUAGCUGUAAAUGCUACUGCCUUUGAUGUUUGCUUUCUACAUGUAUAUCAUAAUGAAAUAUUGACAAGAUAAUAGCUAAUGUUU